GACGAACGCUGGCGGCGUGCUUAACACAUGCAAGUCGAACGAUGAAGAAAAGAAUCGAAGCUUCGGCAGAAAUUCAUUUCGGAUUAGUGGCAGACGGGUGAGUAACGCGUGAGCAACCUACCUCUUACAAAGGGAUAGCCUCGGGAAACCGGGAUUAAUACCAUAUAACAUUGCGACGAAGCAUUUCGAUGCAAUCAAAGCUACGGCGGUAAGAGAUGGGCUCGCGUCCCAUUAACCGGAUGGUGAGGUAACGGCUCACCAUAGUGACGAUGGGUAACCGGCCUGAGAGGGUGAACGGUCACACUGGAACUGAGACACGGUCCAGACUCCUACGGGAGGCAGCAGUGGGGAAUAUUGCACAAUGGAGGGAACUCUGACGCAGCGACGCCGCGUGAGUGAUGAAGGAAUUCGUUUCGUAAAACUCUGUUCUAUGGGAAGAAAAGGACUGUACCAUAGGAGAAAGCUCCGGCUAAAUACGUG
rnacentral:rRNA from 1 species